AUUGAACGCUGGCGGCAGGCCUAACACAUGCAAGUCGAGCGGAGCGGCGGACGGGAGAGUAAUACAUAGGAAUCUGCCUGGUAGUGGGGGAUAACGUUCGGAAACGGACGCUAAUACCGCAUACUAACCGUUGAGCCUAGGUCGGAGUAGCUAGUUGGUGAGGUAAUGGCUCACCAAGGCUACGACUCGUAACUGGUCUGAGCGGAUGAUAAGUCACACUGGAACGUAGACACGGUCCAGACUCCUACGGGAGGCAGCAGUGGGGAAUAUUGGACAAUGGGCGAAAGCCUGAUCCAGCCAUGCCGCGUGUGUGAAGAAGGUCUUCGGAUUGUAAAGUACUUUAAGUUUGGAGGCGUUACCGACAGAAGAAGCACCGGCUAACUCUGUGCCAGCAGCCGCGGUAAUAC
rnacentral:rRNA from 1 species